CUAAGCGUACACGGUGGAUGCCCUGGCAGUCAGAGGCGAUGAAGGACGUGCUAAUCUGCGAAAAGCGUCGGUAAGGUGAUAUGAACCGUUACAGCCGGCGAUGUCCGAAUGGGGAAACCCAGUGCAAUUCGUUGCACUAUCGUUAACUGAAUACAUAGGUUAACGAGGCGAACCGGGGGAACUGAAACAUCUAAGUACCCCGAGGAAAAGAAAUCAACCGAGAUUCCCCCAGUAGCGGCGAGCGAACGGGGAGCAGCCCAGAGUCUGAAUCAGCUUGUGUGUUAGUGGAACGGUCUGGAAAGUCCGACGGUACAGGGUGAUAGUCCCGUACACCAAAAUGCACAGGUUGUGAACUCGAAGAGUAGGGCGGGACACGUGGUAUCCUGUCUGAAUAUGGGGGGACCAUCCUCCAAGGCUAAAUACUCCUGACUGACCGAUAGUGAACCAGUACCGUGAGGGAAAGGCGAAAAGAACCCCGGCGAGGGGAGUGAAAAAGAACCUGAAACCGUGUACGUACAAGCAGUGGGAGCACCUU
rnacentral:rRNA from 1 species